rnacentral:rRNA from 1 species
GUAGGUGGCAAGCGUUGUCCGGAAUUAUUGGGUGUAAAGCGCGCGCAGGCGGUUCUUUAAGUCUGAUGUGAAAGCCCACGGCUCAACCGUGGAGGGUCAUUGGAAACUGGAGAACUUGAGUACAGAAGAGGAAAGCGGAAUUCCACGUGUAGCGGUGAAAUGCGUAGAGAUGUGGAGGAACACCAGUGGCGAAGGCGGCUUUCUGGUCUGUAACUGACGCUGAGGCGCGAAAGCGUGGGGAGCAAACAGGGAUUAGAUACCCUGGUAGUCCACGCCGUAAACGAUGAGUGCUAAGUGUUAGGGGGUUUCCCGCCCCUUAGUGCUGCAGCUAACGCAUUAAGCACUCCGCCUGGGGAGUACGGCCGCAAGGCUG